UAAUCGUUCCGUGUUCGAGUGCAUGAGAAAACAAUAUGAUCUGUGUGCCAUAAUCGUUCCGUGUUCAGGGAAUAACAAUGUUUCAAGGUACUCAUGUAUGUCGUUCUUUAUUCAAGUACAUGGAGAAUCAAUAAUAACACAUAAUGUAUGGUAACUGAUUAAUCUUCCAUAAUAGUGAUGAAGUAUACAACGAAGCAAUUGUGAAUUUAUUUUCUGAUUUGUGCAUUCGUCUUCUGAUUUGUAUGUUUUGUUAU
rnacentral:lncRNA from 1 species